UACGUAGGGUGCAAGCGUUGUCCGGAAUUAUUGGGCGUAAAGAGCUCGUAGGCGGUCUGUCGCGUCUGCUGUGAAAACUCGGGGCUUAACCCUGAGCUUGCGGUCGAUACGGGCAUGACUGGAGUUCGGCAGGGGAGACUGGAAUUCCUGGUGUAGCGGUGAAAUGCGCAGAUAUCAGGAGGAACACCGGUGGCGAAGGCGGGUCUCUGGGCCGAUACUGACGCUGAGGAGCGAAAGCGUGGGGAGCGAACAGG
rnacentral:rRNA from 1 species